UACGUAGGGUGCAAGCGUUGUCCGGAAUUAUUGGGCGUAAAGAGCUCGUAGGCGGUUUGUCGCGUCUGCUGUGAAAACUCGGGGCUUAACUCCGGGCCUGCAGUGGGUACGGGCAGACUAGAGUGCGGUAGGGGAGACUGGAAUUCCUGGUGUAGCGGUGAAAUGCGCAGAUAUCAGGAGGAACACCGAUGGCGAAGGCAGGUCUCUGGGCCACUACUGACGCUGAGACGCGAAAGCGUGGGGAGCGAACAGG
rnacentral:rRNA from 1 species